GCCGGAGUGGCGGAACUGGCAGACGCGCGGGACUCAAAAUCCCGUGUCCUUCGGGACGUGUGGGUUCGACCCCCACCUCCGGCA
rnacentral:tRNA from 3 species